GGGCAUAUAGCUUAGUGGUAGAGCAUGUGUUCAGCAUACCCAAGUUCCUGGGUUCGAUCCCCAGUACCUCCA
rnacentral:tRNA from 1 species